rnacentral:rRNA from 1 species
UAAGGAAUAUUGGUCAAUGGACGCAAGUCUGAACCAGCCAUGCCGCGUGAAGGAUGAAGGUCCUCUGGAUUGUAAACUUCUUUUAUGUGGGAAGAAAUGCUUGUUUUAUAACGAGUUUGACGGUACCAUAGGAAUAAGCACCGGCUAACUCCGUGCCAGCAGCCGCGGUAAUACGGAGGGUGCAAGCGUUAUCCGGAUUCACUGGGUUUAAAGGGUGCGUAGGUGGGAAUGUAAGUCAGUGGUGAAAUCUCCGUGCUUAACAUGGAAACUGCCAUUGAUACUAUGUUUCUUGAAUUUUCCGGAGGUUAGCGGAAUAUGUCAUGUAGCGGUGAAAUGCUUAGAUAUGACAUAGAACACCAAUUGCGAAGGCAGCUAACUACAGGGACAUUGACACUGAUGCACGAAAGCGUGGGGAUCAAACAGGAUUAGAUACCCUGGUAGUCCACGCCCUAAACGAUGGAUACUCGACAUACGCGAUAAACAGU